rnacentral:misc_RNA from 1 species
GGAAGUAAAAGUCGUACAAGGUUUCCGUAGGUGAACCUGCGGAAGGAUCAUUAUUGGAUUUUGAAACUUCAGGCUGCUGCUGGCUCUCCUCGGAGGGCAUGUGCACGCUUGUUGUCCAUUAUUUCUCCACUGUGCACAAAUUGUAGACCUUUCAGUAGGCCUAUGUUGUUUUUCACAAUCUCUGAAUGUAAUAGAAUGGUUUUGAAUCUUGGGAAAUACAAUACAACUUUCAGCAACGGAUCUCUUGGCUCUC